AUUCAACUGACGAGUCCCGAAUAGGACAAAACACAUGUCCUGGAU
rnacentral:hammerhead_ribozyme from 1 species